CGCCUACAACGAGACACAAUCGCCUCACAGCUUAGCGAGUUAAGCAUUUAAGCAGAUUAGCAUUGCCUCAUCAUUUUAUGUACCAUUAAGGUCUUAUUCCUCUUUCCUUAAAAAUGUUUGGUAUGCGACCUAUGCCUACAAUCACACUAUGCAACCAGCAGCGCACCAGGGGUUAAACCCACUGCUAGCCUAUAUCAACCAUUCGUAAACCACU